GACGAACGCUGGCGGCGUGCUUAACACAUGCAAGUCGAACGGAAAGGCCCCUUUGGGGUUACUCGAGUGGCGAACGGGUGAGUAACACGUGAGUAACCUGCCCUUGACUUCGGGAUAACUUCAGGAAACUGGGGCUAAUACCGGAUAGGAAUCCUUGCUGCAUGGUGGGGGUUGGAAAGCUUCGGCGGUUUUGGAUGGACUCGCGGCUUAUCAGCUUGUUGGUGGGGUAGUGGCUUACCAAGGCUUUGACGGGUAGCCGGCCUGAGAGGGCGACCGGCCACAUUGGGACUGAGAUACGACCCAGACUCCUACGGGAGGCAGCAGUGGGGAAUAUUGCACAAUGGGCGGAAGCCUGAUGCAGCAACGCCGCGUGCGGGAUGACGGCCUUCGGGUUGUAAACCGCUUUCAGCAGGGGCGAAGCUUGUGGUGACGGUACCUGCAGAAGAAGCACCGGCUAACUACGUG
rnacentral:rRNA from 1 species